AGAGUUUGAUCAUGGCUCAGAUUGAACGCUGGCGGCAUGCUUUACACAUGCAAGUCGAACGGUAACAGGUCUUCGGAUGCUGACGAGUGGCGAACGGGUGAGUAAUGCAUCGGAACGUGCCCAGUCGUGGGGGAUAACGCAGCGAAAGCUGUGCUAAUACCGCAUACGACCUAUGGAUGAAAGCGGGGGAUCGCAAGACCUCGCGCGAUUGGAGCGGCCGAUGUCAGAUUAGCUAGUUGGUGGGGUAAAAGCCCACCAAGGCGACGAUCUGUAGCUGGUCUGAGAGGACGACCAGCCACACUGGGACUGAGACACGGCCCAGACUCCUACGGGAGGCAGCAGUGGGGAAUUUUGGACAAUGGGCGCAAGCCUGAUCCAGCAAUGCCGCGUGCAGGAAGAAGGCCUUCGGGUUGUAAACUGCUUUUGUACGGAACGAAAAGGUCCGGGUUAAUACCCUGGGCUCAUGACGGUACCGUAAGAAUAAGCACCGGCUAACUACGUGCCAGCAGCCGCGGUAAUACGUAGGGUGCAAGCGUUAAUCGGAAUUACUGGGCGUAAAGCGUGCGCAGGCGGUGAUGUAAGACAGGCGUGAAAUCCCCGGGCUCAACCUGGGAAUGGCGCUUGUGACUGCAUCGCUGGAGUGCGGCAGAGGGGGAUGGAAUUCCGCGUGUAGCAGUGAAAUGCGUAGAUAUGCGGAGGAACACCAAUGGCGAAGGCAAUCCCCUGGGCCUGCACUGACGCCCAUGCACGAAAGCGUGGGGAGCAAACAGGAUUAGAUACCCUGGUAGUCCACGCCCUAAACGAUGUCAACUGGUUGUUGGUCCUUAGCUGGAUCAGUAACGAAGCUAACGCGUGAAGUUGACCGCCUGGGGAGUAC
rnacentral:rRNA from 1 species